AUCAAACCGGGAGAUAGCUGGUUCUCCCCGAAAGCUAUUUAGGUAGCGCCUCGUGAAUUCAUCUCCGGGGGUAGAGCACUGUUUCGGCAAGGGGGUCAUCCCGACUUACCAACCCGAUGCAAACUGCGAAUACCGGAGAAUGUUAUCACGGGAGACACACGGCGGGUGCUAACGUCCGUCGUGAAGAGGGAAACAACCCAGACCGCCAGCUAAGGUCCCAAAGUCAUGGUUAAGUGGGAAACGAUGUGGGAAGGCCCAGACAGCCAGGAUGUUGGCUUAGAAGCAGCCAUCAUUUAAAGAAAGCGUAAUAGCUCACUGGUCGAGUCGGCCUGCGCGGAAGAUGUAACGGGGCUAAACCAUGCACCGAAGCUGCGGCAGCGACGCUGAUGCGUUGUUGGGUAGGGGAGCGUUCUGUAAGCCUGCGAAGGUGUGCUGUGAGGCAUGCUGGAGGUAUCAGAAGUGCGAAUGCUGACAUAAGUAACGAUAAAGCGGGUGAAAAGCCCGCUCGCCGGAAGACCAAGGGUUCCUGUCCAACGUUAAUCGGGGCAGGGUGAGUCGACCCCUAAGGCGAGGCCGAAAGGCGUAGUCGAUGGGAAACAGGUUAAUAUUCCUGUACUUGGUGUUACUGCGAAGGGGGGACGGAGAAGGCUAUGUUGGCCGGGCGACGGUUGUCCCGGUUUAAGCGUGUAGGCUGGUUUUCCAGGCAAAUCCGGAAAAUCAAGGCUGAGGCGUGAUGACGAGGCACUACGGUGCUGAAGCAACAAAUGCCCUGCUUCCAGGAAAAGCCUCUAAGCAUCAGGUAACAUCAAAUCGUACCCCAAACCGACACAGGUGGUCAGGUAGAGAAUACCAAGGCGCUUGAGAGAACUCGGGUGAAGGAACUAGGCAAAAUGGUGCCGUAACUUCGGGAGAAGGCACGCUGAUAUGUAGGUGAAGUCCCUUGCGGAUGGAGCUGAAAUCAGUCGAAGAUACCAGCUGGCUGCAACUGUUUAUUAAAAACACAGCACUGUGCAAACACGAAAGUGGACGUAUACGGUGUGACGCCUGCCCGGUGCCGGAAGGUUAAUUGAUGGGGUCAGCGCAAGCGAAGCUCUUGAUCGAAGCCCCGGUAAACGGCGGCCGUAACUAUAACGGUCCUAAGGUAGCGAAAUUCCUUGUCGGGUAAGUUCCGACCUGCACGAAUGGCGUAAUGAUGGCCAGGCUGUCUCCACCCGAGACUCAGUGAAAUUGAACUCGCUGUGAAGAUGCAGUGUACCCGCGGCAAGACGGAAAGACCCCGUGAACCUUUACUAUAGCUUGACACUGAACAUUGAGCCUUGAUGUGUAGGAUAGGUGGGAGGCUUUGAAGUGUGGACGCCAGUCUGCAUGGAGCCGACCUUGAAAUACCACCCUUUAAUGUUUGAUGUUCUAACGUGGACCCGU
rnacentral:rRNA from 1 species